AAUUCUAAUUAAACUAUUCUUUG
rnacentral:tRNA from 1 species